ACGGCUAUUCGUUUCGUGCAAUUGACAGCAACGAGAAUAUGGCCGCCUGAACUUCGAUACUGUAUAAGUCUACUCUUGAACGUUAUUUGUGAACGAAUCGAAGAAGAAACUAUGUAAACUGUUUUUUCGUCAAAUAUAACAAAGUUAACUACAAUGAUGUAUUUAAGUUCUAACGACUCAUAAAUCGAAUAGUAACUUAACAUAUCAUAGACUUAUCAUAGAAUUUUAAUAUAAUGACAGUUAAUGUUCAUUCUUGAAUUCUUGUGGCCACAAUUGCGGACGGUUCUACACUUUUCAUCUUAUGCCGAAUAACUCGGCAUUUGGAUUCUCGGACCAGGAAUUGAAUCGUACGCUCAAGCUUUCUUCGAAAGUUGCACGAUGGACGAACUAUUGGAGGACGAUGAAAAGCAGAAAUGAAAAUUCAGUCUCAUCCGCGAGACCAAUACACUUACAGAACCAGAAUUUUCAAUGAAGUUUGGACAAGACUCUUCACCCUCACCAAAGUUUUACUUUAUCGACUACGAAAGUAAACUUCGAUUAGGAAGAACGACGCUCUGUGAACUUUUACUUCAGAACCUUAGUCUACUUCGAUCAGCUUGGAGAAACUAUUGAAGAUUUCCAAUUUGACAUUGUAAUCAUCGGUUAAAAAUAAACGAUUAUCAAGAUAUUAUUAAAAACUCGUUGUUAUAAGAAAAGAAAUGAUCAAGGUCUAUAAAUAUAAGUAAUAAUGAAAUAAAAUUUUUU